UACAGAGGGGGCAAGCGUUGUUCGGAAUUACUGGGCGUAAAGCGUGCGCAGGCGGCGGCUCAAGUCAGGUGUGAAAUCCCCGGGCUUAACCUGGGAAUUGCGCUUGAAACUAGGCUGCUUGAGUGUGGCAGAGGGGGGUGGAAUUCCACGUGUAGCAGUGAAAUUCGUAGAUAUUCGCAAGAACACCAGUGGCGAAGGCGGCUCACUGGCCCGAAUACUGACGCUGAGGCACGAAAGCGUGGGGAGCAAACAGG
rnacentral:rRNA from 1 species